UACCCCAGCGUGUUAAGCCCUCCUUCUCAGGGGGUCUUCGUUGCAUGCAAGUAAUUUUCCUCACUCAGAAGUAAAUUAUACCACUACUUUGGUAUCCUGACACACCUAGAGGCUAGAGACACACCUGCCUCUAGCUUUGUCUGUUCAGCUCCAGCCAUUCCCAGGGUAAUGUGUUUGUGUGAAGAAAUGCAGCACUGAUGUCAAAGCUGGGAAAUGGUACAAGCAGGAAAUCCAUUACAGAUACCUUAUUACCAGAGCUGGGAACAAGACAUGGCUGACCUACUUUCAGAAAUUUUCCUACUCUAGAUGCUGCCUCCACACAUUGGGGCUGGGACGGGAUACAGCCCUAUAUCCUUAACUCCAACUUGGCUGAGAAAAGCAGGCUCUCUUGCUGCAAGCAACUGCUCUCCUAUUUCAUAUAAGCUGACCCCCAUGGCAGGAAUGCUCUCACUCCUCAUCACUGCCAUAUAUCUUCCUGCCAGGCUGAACUCAGGCUAUAUGUAUGUAUAUAAUGUCAUCUGCAAGGUCAUGCAAGUGGUUCCUCAACAUAUGCACUGAUCACAUGCUCCAUCACCUCUCAUCAAUAAAGAUAUUUAAGACUUUCAAUUAAAAAGUCUAGAAGUGACAUAGUGGCAAAAGAGGAUGCUUUGUCUCAUUAGUUAAAAUGUUGGAAAGUUCGAAGUAGAGAUUAAGAAGCAGGAAACCAGAGACAGUACCCUUGAAACAGGAUCCCUGAAGUAUAAAGGCACAAAGAUUGAGCCACUGUGUACAGCCUUUCCCCAUGGAAGACUCACACUUUAUGUUGGCACAGGACUACAGAGGACCUGAAAACAUGUGCUUGCAGGAAGAAUUGGAAAAUCAUGUAUGAGGAGCCAAAGACAGCAAUAACUUGUUCUAAUUAAGGAUCAACCGGCUGUGGAGCAUCAUGUGUUAUUUAAUUAGAAUAAACCAAGGCUACAUAAGUGAGUUCAUUGUUUUAUUUCUCCAAUGAAAGGUGUACAGCAUUUUUCACUGCAU